UAUAUAAAAAUUUAGAAUGAAAUUGGAUUUGAUAGUAAUAAAUUUUAUAUUUAAUUUAUGAUUAUAGCUCU
rnacentral:tRNA from 1 species